CGCCUGGGGAGUACGGUCGCAAGAUUAAAACUCAAAGGAAUUGACGGGGGCCUGCACAAGCGGUGGAGCAUGUGGUUUAAUUCGAAGCAACGCGCAGAACCUUACCAGCCUUUGACAUCCUAGGACGGUUUCUGGAGACAGACUCCUUCCCUUCGGGGACCUAGUGACAGGUGCUGCAUGGCUGUCGUCAGCCCGUGUCGUGAGAUGUUGGGUUAAGUCCCGCAACGAGCGCAACCCUCGUCCUUAGUUGCCAUCAUUUAGUUGGGCACUUUAAGGAAACUGCCGGUGAUAAGCCGGAGGAAGGUGGGGAUGACGUCAAGUCCUCAUGGCCCUUACAGGCUGGGCUACACACGUGCUACAAUGGCAUCUACAGUGGGCAGCUAUCCCGCAAGGGUGAGCUAAUCUCCAAAAGAUGUCUCAGUUCGGAUUGUCCUCUGCAACUCGAGGGCAUGAAGGCGGAAUCGCUAGUAAUCGCGGAUCAGCAUGCCGCGGUGAAUACGUUCCCAGGCCUUGUACACACCGCCCGUCACACCAUGGGAGUUGGAUUCACCCGAAGGCAGUGCGCUAACCGCAAGGAGGCA
rnacentral:rRNA from 1 species